UGCGUAGGCGGCCCGUUAAGUCAGUAGUGAAAGUCUGUGGCUCAACCAUAGAAGUGCUAUUGAUACUGACGGGCUUGAGUAUACCAAAGGUAGGCGGAAUUUAUGAUGUAGCGGUGAAAUGCAUAGAUAUCAUAAAGAACACCGAUAGCGAAGGCAGCUUACUUGAGUAUAACUGACGCUGAGGCACGAAAGCGUGGGGAGCGAACA
rnacentral:rRNA from 1 species